ACUGCCGGCGACAAGUCGGAGGAAGUGGGAUGACGUCAAAUCAUCAUGCCCUUAUGACCUGGGCGUACACACGUGCUACAAUGGGCGGUACAAAGGGCUGCGAACCCGCGAGGGGGAGGCGAAUCCCAAAAAGCCGCUCUCAGUUCGGAUUGCAGGCUGCAACUCGCCUGCAUGAAGCCGGAAUCGCUAGUAAUCGCGGAUCAGCAUGCCGCGGUGAAUACGUUCCCGGGCCUU
rnacentral:rRNA from 1 species